rnacentral:rRNA from 1 species
AGUGAACGCUGGCGGUAGGCCUAACACAUGCAAGUCGAACGGCAGCACAGUAAGAGCUUGCUCUUACGGGUGGCGAGUGGCGGACAGGUGAGGAAUACAUCGGAAUCUACUUUUUCGUGGGGGAUAACGUAGGGAAACUUACGCUAAUACCGCAUACGACCUACGGGUGAAAGCAGGGGAUCUUCGGACCUUGCGCGAUUGAAUGAGCCGAUGUCGGAUUAGCUAGUUGGCGGGGUAAAGGCCCACCAAGGCGACGAUCCGUAGCUGGUCUGAGAGGAUGAUCAGCCGCACUGGAACUGAGACACGGUCCAGACUCCUACGGGAGGCAGCAGUGGGGAAUAUUGGACAAUGGGCGCAAGCCUGAUCCAGCCAUACCGCGUGGGUGAAGAAGGCCUUCGGGUUGUAAAGCCCUUUUGUUGGGAAAGAAAAGCAGCAGGUUAAUACCCCGCUGUUCUGACGGUACCCAAAGAAUAAGCACCGGCUAACUUCGUG